GCCCAUGCGCGAAAUACCUAGCCGCAGGCUCGAGGAAUCGAGGCUAUAUGUGCUUAGUCGCGCCGUCCCAAGUGCCGAUGCGCGAAAUGCGUAGCCGCUGGCUCGAGGAGUCGAUGCUCUAUGUGCUUAGUCGCGCAGUCCCAAUGCCGAUGGGCGAAAUGCCUAGCCGCGGGCUCGAGGAACUGACGCUUGAUGUGCUUAGUCGCGCAGUCCCAAGUGCCGAUGCGCGAAAUGCCUAUCCGUGGGCUCAGGCAUCGACGCUCUGUGUGCUUAGUUGCGCAGUCCCAAGUGCCGAUGGGCGAAAUGCCUAGCCGCGGGCUCGAGGAACUGACGCUCGAU